rnacentral:lncRNA from 1 species
CCUACCAUAAUUUCCUUCCUCAACCGUACUUGAAGAAUCCAAAUAAAAUAAAACCACGAAAAAAAAUGCGAGGCAAUUAAUAUAAUUUCUUCUCAUCAAAUACAUAGUAGCUAACUAGUUUAAUUUUCCUAUAUUUGGCUUCAAUUCACAGCUAGCUUAUUCGAUAGUGUAGACAUGGCAACUACACAAGUGAAACAUUAUGUCACUUCUUUGGGUGCUGCAGCAACAACGUUAGCAAAAACAUGGCUGGUCUUGUGGAUACUUG